rnacentral:rRNA from 1 species
AUUGAACGCUGGCGGCAGGCCUAACACAUGCAAGUCGAACGGUAACAGGAAGCAGCUUGCUGCUUCGCUGACGAGUGGCGGACGGGUGAGUAAUGUCUGGGAAACUGCCUGAUGGAGGGGGAUAACUACUGGAAACGGUAGCUAAUGCCGCAUAACGUCGCAAGACCAAAGAGGGGGACCUUAGGGCCUCUUGCCAUCGGAUGUGCCCAGAUGGGAUUAGCUAGUAGGUGGGGUAACGGCUCACCUAGGCGACGAUCCCUAGCUGGUCUGAGAGGAUGACCAGCCACACUGGAACUGAGACACGGUCCAGACUCCUACGGGAGGCAGCAGUGGGGAAUAUUGCACAAUGGGCGCAAGCCUGAUGCAGCCAUGCCGCGUGUAUGAAGAAGGCCUUCGGGUUGUAAAGUACUUUCAGCGGGGAGGAAGGGAGUAAAGUUAAUACCUUUGCUCAUUGACGUUACCCGCAGAAGAAGCACCGGCUAACUCCGU